CCUACGGGUGACAGCAGUGGGGAAUAUUGCGCAAUGGGCGAAACCCUGAAGCAGCGACGCCGCGUGGGGGAUGAAGGUCUUCGGAUUGUAAACCCCUUUUGGCAGAGAAGAAAAUGCAGUUUUCUAACGAGUAAGCACUGGCUAACACCGUGCCAGCAGCCGCGGUAAUACGGAGGGUGCGAGCGUUACUCGGAAUCACUGGGCGUAAAGGGCGCGUAGGCGGGAUGGCAAGUCAGAUGUGAAAUCCCAGGGCUUAACCAUGGAACUGCAUUUGAAACUGGGAUUCUAGAGUGUGUGAGAGGAUAGUGGAAUUCUAGGUGUAGGGGUGAAAUCCGUAGAUAUCAAGAGGAACACCCAUGGCGAAGGCGACUAUCUAGAACAUAACUGACGCUGAGGCGCGAAAGCGUGGGUAGCAAACAGGAUUAGAUACCCGAGUAGUC
rnacentral:rRNA from 1 species